rnacentral:rRNA from 1 species
AGCGUAGACGGAUGGACAAGUCUGAUGUGAAAGGCUGGGGCUCAACCCCGGGACUGCAUUGGAAACUGCCCGUCUUGAGUGCCGGAGAGGUAAGCGGAAUUCCUAGUGUAGCGGUGAAAUGCGUAGAUAUUAGGAGGAACACCGAUGGCGAAGGCAGCUCUCUGGUCCGUUUCUGACGCUGAGGUGCGAAAGCUAGGGUAGCGAACG